UUAAGCGACUAAGCGUACACGGUGGAUGCCCUGGCAGUCAGAGGCGAUGAAGGACGUGCUAAUCUGCGAUAAGCGUCGGUAAGGUGAUAUGAACCGUUAUAACCGGCGAUUUCCGAAUGGGGAAACCCAGUGUGUUUCGACACACUAUCAUUAACUGAAUCCAUAGGUUAAUGAGGCGAACCGGGGGAACUGAAACAUCUAAGUACCCCGAGGAAAAGAAAUCAACCGAGAUUCCCCCAGUAGCGGCGAGCGAACGGGGAGCAGCCCAGAGCCUGAAUCAGUGUGUGUGUUAGUGGAAGCGUCUGGAAAGGCGCGCGAUACAGGGUGACAGCCCCGUACACAAAAAUGCACAUAUUGUGAGCUCGAUGAGUAGGGCGGGACACGUGGUAUCCUGUCUGAAUAUGGGGGGACCAUCCUCCAAGGCUAAAUACUCCUGACUGACCGAUAGUGAACCAGUACCGUGAGGGAAAGGCGAAAAGAACCCCGGCGAGGGGAGUGAAAAAGAACCUGAAACCGUGUACGUACAAGCAGUGGGAGCACGCUUAGGCGUGUGACUGCGUACCUUUUGUAUAAUGGGUCAGCGACUUAUAUUCUGUAGCAAGGUUAACCGAAUAGGGGAGCCGAAGGGAAACCGAGUCUUAACUGGGCGUUAAGUUGCAGGGUAUAGACCCGAAACCCGGUGAUCUAGCCAUGGGCAGGUUGAAGGUUGGGUAACACUAACUGGAGGACCGAACCGACUAAUGUUGAAAAAUUAGCGGAUGACUUGUGGCUGGGGGUGAAAGGCCAAUCAAACCGGGAGAUAGCUGGUUCUCCCCGAAAGCUAUUUAGGUAGCGCCUCGUGAAUUCAUCUCCGGGGGUAGAGCACUGUUUCGGCAAGGGGGUCAUCCCGACUUACCAACCCGAUGCAAACUGCGAAUACCGGAGAAUGUUAUCACGGGAGACACACGGCGGGUGCUAACGUCCGUCGUGAAGAGGGAAACAACCCAGACCGCCAGCUAAGGUCCCAAAGUCAUGGUUAAGUGGGAAACGAUGUGGGAAGGCCCAGACAGCCAGGAUGUUGGCUUAGAAGCAGCCAUCAUUUAAAGAAAGCGUAAUAGCUCACUGGUCGAGUCGGCCUGCGCGGAAGAUGUAACGGGGCUAAACCAUGCACCGAAGCUGCGGCAGCGACACUAUGUGUUGUUGGGUAGGGGAGCGUUCUGUAAGCCUGCGAAGGUGUGCUGUGAGGCAUGCUGGAGGUAUCAGAAGUGCGAAUGCUGACAUAAGUAACGAUAAAGCGGGUGAAAAGCCCGCUCGCCGGAAGACCAAGGGUUCCUGUCCAACGUUAAUCGGGGCAGGGUGAGUCGACCCCUAAGGCGAGGCCGAAAGGCGUAGUCGAUGGGAAACAGGUUAAUAUUCCUGUACUUGGUGUUACUGCGAAGGGGGGACGGAGAAGGCUAUGUUGGCCGGGCGACGGUUGUCCCGGUUUAAGCGUGUAGGCUGGUUUUCCAGGCAAAUCCGGAAAAUCAAGGCUGAGGCGUGAUGACGAGGCACUACGGUGCUGAAGCAACAAAUGCCCUGCUUCCAGGAAAAGCCUCUAAGCAUCAGGUAACAUCAAAUCGUACCCCAAACCGACACAGGUGGUCAGGUAGAGAAUACCAAGGCGCUUGAGAGAACUCGGGUGAAGGAACUAGGCAAAAUGGUGCCGUAACUUCGGGAGAAGGCACGCUGAUAUGUAGGUGAAGUCCCUCGCGGAUGGAGCUGAAAUCAGUCGAAGAUACCAGCUGGCUGCAACUGUUUAUUAAAAACACAGCACUGUGCAAACACGAAAGUGGACGUAUACGGUGUGACGCCUGCCCGGUGCCGGAAGGUUAAUUGAUGGGGUCAGCGCAAGCGAAGCUCUUGAUCGAAGCCCCGGUAAACGGCGGCCGUAACUAUAACGGUCCUAAGGUAGCGAAAUUCCUUGUCGGGUAAGUUCCGACCUGCACGAAUGGCGUAAUGAUGGCCAGGCUGUCUCCACCCGAGACUCAGUGAAAUUGAACUCGCUGUGAAGAUGCAGUGUACCCGCGGCAAGACGGAAAGACCCCGUGAACCUUUACUAUAGCUUGACACUGAACAUUGAGCCUUGAUGUGUAGGAUAGGUGGGAGGCUUGGAAGUGUGGACGCCAGUCUGCAUGGAGCCGACCUUGAAAUACCACCCUUUAAUGUUUGAUGUUCUAACGUUGACCCGUAAUCCGGGUUGCGGACAGUGUCUGGUGGGUAGUUUGACUGGGGCGGUCUCCUCCUAAAGAGUAACGGAGGAGCACGAAGGUUGGCUAAUCCUGGUCGGACAUCAGGAGGUUAGUGCAAUGGCAUAAGCCAGCUUGACUGCGAGCGUGACGGCGCGAGCAGGUGCGAAAGCAGGUCAUAGUGAUCCGGUGGUUCUGAAUGGAAGGGCCAUCGCUCAACGGAUAAAAGGUACUCCGGGGAUAACAGGCUGAUACCGCCCAAGAGUUCAUAUCGACGGCGGUGUUUGGCACCUCGAUGUCGGCUCAUCACAUCCUGGGGCUGAAGUAGGUCCCAAGGGUAUGGCUGUUCGCCAUUUAAAGUGGUACGCGAGCUGGGUUUAGAACGUCGUGAGACAGUUCGGUCCCUAUCUGCCGUGGGCGCUGGAGAACUGAGGGGGGCUGCUCCUAGUACGAGAGGACCGGAGUGGACGCAUCACUGGUGUUCGGGUUGUCAUGCCAAUGGCACUGCCCGGUAGCUAAAUGCGGAAGAGAUAAGUGCUGAAAGCAUCUAAGCACGAAACUUGCCCCGAGAUGAGUUCUCCCUGACUCCUUGAGAGUCCUGAAGGAACGUUGAAGACGACGACGUUGAUAGGCCGGGUGUGUAAGCGCAGCGAUGCGUUGAGCUAACCGGUACUAAUGAACCGUGAGGCUUAACCUU
rnacentral:rRNA from 1 species